GACAAUAAAAGGGUUGCUGACGAGGACGCUGGAGACGAGGUUCAGAAUAUGGAGGAGUUAGAAUUACUUCAGCGAUUACAACUAGGAGAGGAUAGUGAUGAUGACAUUCCUACUUUGGAGCAUGGGCAUGAUUAUAUCGACACGUGUGAUAGUGAUGAUAAGACUUAUGAUCCAUCUAAUCCCGAUCAUGAUGAUUAUUUCUAAUACAUGUAUGAGCCGUACUAAUUUAUUUAUUAUUUGUGAUACCAAGUUAUUUUUGAAGUAUGUUUAGUUUAUUUUGCAUAUUUUACUAAGUAUGUUUUGUUUAUCUGUGCUGAUUGGUUUACUCUUUUUAAUU
rnacentral:lncRNA from 1 species